rnacentral:rRNA from 1 species
AUACAGAGGGUGCGAGCGUUAAUCGGAAUUACUGGGCGUAAAGCGCGCGUAGGCGGUUCGGCAAGUCGGGUGUGAAAUCCCCGGGCUUAACCUGGGAAUUGCAUCCGAAACUGCCGGGCUAGAGUGUGGUAGAGGGAAGCGGAAUUCCGCAUGUAGCGGUGAAAUGCGUAGAUAUGCGGAGGAACACCAGUGGCGAAGGCGGCUUCCUGGACCAACACUGACGCUGAGGUGCGAAAGCGUGGGGAGCAAACAGGAUUAGAUACCCUAGUAGUCC